GUGGAUUAGAUAGCCCAGUAGUCCUAGCCGUAAACGAUGGGCACUAGGUGUUGGAGGUAUCGACCCCUCCAGUGCCGCAGCUAACGCAUUAAGUGCCCCGCCUGGGGAGUACGGUCGCAAGACUAAAACUCAAAGGAAUUGACGGGGGCCCGCACAAGCGGUGGAGCAUGUGGUUUAAUUCGACGCAACGCGAAGAACCUUACCUGGGCUUGACAUCCCCUGAAGGUGCUGAAAACAGUACCGUCUCUUCGGAGACAGGGUGACAGGUGCUGCACGGCUGUCGACAACU
rnacentral:rRNA from 1 species